rnacentral:lncRNA from 1 species
CACAGAUACGUGGGGAAUCUGGUGAUAUAUUUGUCAUGAAAAAGAAAGAAAAAGUAAACUUUACAUACAUUUCUGGGAAGGUCCCCACUCAGCUUUCCACACCUCUCUGAGAUCCUUUACUACCUCAGACUUAGGAUCUCAGUUCUAAUAGAAAUGAUUAUCCCUCCAGGUUCGAGAAAUGGCUGCUACUACCUUAAGUGGUUUGUUACAGUGUAACUUCCUUACCAUGGACAGUGCUAUGCAGAGUCAUUUUGAGCAACUUUGCAAAACUAAACUACCCAAGAAAAGAAAACGAGACCCUGGUUCUGUGGGAGAUACCAUUCCUUCUGCAGAGUUGGUCAAACGUCAUGCUGGUGUGCUUGGACUUGGUGCAUGUGUUCUUUCUAGCCCUUAUGAUGUUCCUACCUGGAUGCCCCAGCUCCUUAUGAAUCUCAGUGCACAUUUGAAUGAUCCUCAGCCUAUUGAAAUGACUGUCAAGAAGACCUUAUCCAAUUUCCGAAGGACACAUCAUGACAACUGGCAAGAACACAAGCAGCAGUUCACUGAUGACCAGCUGCUUGUCCUCACUGACCUCCUUGUGUCACCAUGCUAUUAUGCAUAGAGGGAUGACUAUUCCUCAUUCUGGGCUCAUUUCAUCAAAAAUUCCGAUCCUCAGGUAUCAUCCGUGGUGACUCUGCAAGUUUCAGAACACAGCUUCUGUUGAGCUUUCAUCAUUUUGGUGGCUUCUGUGUUUGGCCUCAUUAGUCUGUGUUCACAGGUUCUCAGCUGCCGCUUGAUUCCCUAACUUGUCCUGA